rnacentral:rRNA from 1 species
CACGUAGGGGGCAAGCGUUGUCCGGAUUUAUUGGGCGUAAAGAGCGUGUAGGCGGCCUGGUAGGUCAGCUGUGAAAACUCGAGGCUCAACCCUGGAAGGCCGGUGGAAACUGUCGGGCUAGAGUCCGGAAGAGGCGAGUGGAAUUCCCGGUGUAGCGGUGAAAUGCGCAGAUAUCGGGAGGAACACCAAUGGCGAAGGCAGCUCGCUGGGACGGUACUGACGCUGAGACGCGAAAGCGUGGGGAGCAAACAGG